UGGAAGGGCCAUCGCUCAACGGAUAAAAGGUACUCCGGGGAUAACAGGCUGAUACCGCCCAAGAGUUCAUAUCGACGGCGGUGUUUGGCACCUCGAUGUCGGCUCAUCACAUCCUGGGGCUGAAGUAGGUCCCAAGGGUAUGGCUGUUCGCCAUUUAAAGUGGUACGCGAGCUGGGUUUAGAACGUCGUGAGACAGUUCGGUCCCUAUCUGCCGUGGGCGCUGGAGAACUGAGGGGGGCUGCUCCUAGUACGAGAGGACCGGAGUGGACGCAUCACUGGUGUUCGGGUUGUCAUGCCAAUGGCACUGCCCGGUAGCUAAAUGCGGAAGAGAUAAGUGCUGAAAGCAUCUAAGCACGAAACUUGCCCCGAGAUGAGUUCUCCCUGACCCUUUAAGGGUCCUGAAGGAACGUUGAAGACGACGACGUUGAUAGGCCGGGUGUGUAAGCGCAGCGAUGCGUUGAGCUAACCG
rnacentral:rRNA from 1 species